rnacentral:SRP_RNA from 1 species
UCGUGCAGCCGGGGUGUUAGCGGUACCUUGUACCUGCAAUCCGCUAUAGCAGGGGUGAUAUUGCGCAGAGGACGGCAGCCGGCAGGGCUGCCCCCGGUAAGUGAUGUUGAUGUUUGGGUCUCACGCGACGGGAACCUGUGAACCGUGUCAGGCCGGGAACGGAGCAGCACUAAGCAGGAGCUCCCGGGUGCCGUGAGGGUGCCUGAGCUGAGUUAACUGCCGGGGUAACGCCUGUUGGUCAAGUUCGAAGCGCAAUGCACGA